rnacentral:lncRNA from 1 species
AGCCCCUAGCGCAGACGGCGGAGAGCAGAGAGGGAGCGCGCCUUGGCUCGCUGGCCUUGGCGGCGGCUCCUCAGGAGAGCUGGGGCGCCCACGAGAGGAUCCCUCACCCGGGUCUCUCCUCAGGGAUGACAUCAUCCGUCCACCUCCUUGUCUUCAAGGACCACCUCCUCUCCAUGCUGAGCUGCUGCCAAGGGGCCUGCUGCCCAUCUACACCUCACGAGGGCACUAGGAGCACGGUUUCCUGGAUCCCACCAACAUACAAAGCAGCCACUCACUGACCCCCAGGACCAGGAUGGCAAAGGAUGAAGAGGACCGGAACUGACCAGCCAGCUGUCCCUCUUACCUAAAGACUUAAACCAAUGCCCUAGUGAGGGGGCAUUGGGCAUUAAGCCCUGACCUUUGCUAUGCUCAUACUUUGACUCUAUGAGUACUUUCCUAUAAGUCUUUGCUUGUGUUCACCUGCUAGCAAACUGGAGUGUUUCCCUCCCCAAGGGGGUGUCAGUCUUUGUCGACUGACUCUGUCAUCACCCUUAUGAUGUCCUGAAUGGAAGGAUCCCUUUGGGAAAUUCUCAGGAGGGGGACCUGGGCCAAGGGCUUGGCCAGCAUCCUGCUGGCAACUCCAAGGCCCUGGGUGGGCUUCUGGAAUGAGCAUGCUACUGAAUCACCAAAGGCACGCCCGACCUCUCUGAAGAUCUUCCUAUCCUUUUCUGGGGGAAUGGGGUCGAUGAGAGCAACCUCCUAGGGUUGUUGUGAGAAUUAAAUGAGAUAAAAGAGGCCUCAGGCAGGAUCUGGCAUAGAGGAGGUGAUCAGCAAAUGUUUGUUGAAAAGGUUUGACAGGUCAGUCCCUUCCCACCCCUCUUGCUUGUCUUACUUGUCUUAUUUAUUCUCCAACAGCACUCCAGGCAGCCCUUGUCCACGGGCUCUCCUUGCAUCAGCCAAGCUUCUUGAAAGGCCUGUCUACACUUGCUGUCUUCCUUCCUCACCUCCAAUUUCCUCUUCAACCCACUGCUUCCUGACUCGCUCUACUCCGUGGAAGCACGCUCACAAAGGGCUAAUCUCGGGCCUUGUCGAAGGAAGAGGCUGCAGACGUUAAUGAGGUUAGCUGCUGGAUUCCAGUAUUCGUCGCAUAAGGAUCCUUCUUUGUCUGCGAAGGAAAAACACACUGAUUAUCAUAAUGAGGCACGUGGGCCGUGGCCCGGCUGGGUCGGCUGAAGAACUGCGGAUGGAAGCUGCGGAAGAGGCCCUGAUGGGGCCCACCAUCCCGGACCCAAGUCUUCUUCCUGGCGGGCCUCUCGUCUCCUUCCUGGUUUGGGCGGAAGCCAUCACCUGGAUGCCUACGUGGGAAGGGACCUCGAAUGUGGGACCCCAGCCCCUCUCCAGCUCGAAAUCCCUCCACAGCCACGGGGACACCCUGCACCUAUUCCCACGGGACAGGCUGGACCCAGAGACUCUGGACCCGGGGCCUCCCCUUGAGUAGAGACCCGCCCUCUGACUGAUGGACGCCGCUGACCUGGGGUCAGACCCGUGGGCUGGACCCCUGCCCACCCCGCAGGAACCCUGAGGCCUAGGGGAGCUGUUGAGCCUUCAGUGUCUGCAUGUGGGAAGUGGGCUCCUUCACCUACCUCACAGGGCUGUUGUGAGGGGCGCUGUGAUGCGGUUCCAAAGCACAGGGCUUGGCGCACCCCACUGUGCUCUCAAUAAAUGUGUUUCCUGUCUUAACAAAAA